UACGUAGGGUGCGAGCGUUAAUCGGAAUUACUGGGCGUAAAGCGUGCGCAGGCGGUCUUGCAAGCUGGGUGUGAAAGCCCCGGGCUCAACCUGGGAGGUGCAUUCAGGACUGCGAGGCUGGAGUGCGGCAGAGGGAGGUGGAAUUCCACGUGUAGCAGUGAAAUGCGUAGAGAUGUGGAGGAACACCAGUGGCGAAGGCGACUGCCUGGACGGCACCUGACGCUGAGGCGCGAAAGCUAGGGGAGCAAACGGG
rnacentral:rRNA from 1 species